ACCUUCGGGCCUCAUGCCAUCAGAUGUGCCCAGAUGGGAUUAGCUAGUAGGUGGGGUAACGGCUCACCUAGGCGACGAUCCCUAGCUGGUCUGAGAGGAUGACCAGCCACACUGGAACUGAGACACGGUCCAGACUCCUACGGGAGGCAGCAGUGGGGAAUAUUGCACAAUGGGCGCAAGCCUGAUGCAGCCAUGCCGCGUGUGUGAAGAAGGCCUUCGGGUUGUAAAGCACUUUCAGCGGGGAGGAAGGCGUUAAGGUUAAUAACCUUGGCGAUUGACGUUACCCGCAGAAGAAGCACCGGCUAACUCCGUGCCAGCAGCCGCGGUAAUACGGAGGGUGCAAGCGUUAAUCGGAAUUACUGGGCGUAAAGCGCACGCAGGCGGUCUGUCAAGUCGGAUGUGAAAUCCCCGGGCUUAACCUGGGAACUGCAUUCGAAACUGGCAGGCUAGAGUCUUGUAGAGGGGGGUAGAAUUCCAGGUGUAGCGGUGAAAUGCGUAGAGAUCUGGAGGAAUACCGGUGGCGAAGGCGGCCCCCUGGACAAAGACUGACGCUCAGGUGCGAAAGCGUGGGGAGCAAACAGGAUUAGAUACCCUGGUAGUCCACGCCGUAAACGAUGUCGAUUUGGAGGUUGUGCCCUUGAGGCGUGGCUUCCGGAGCUAACGCGUUAAAUCGACCGCCUGGGGAGUACGGCCGCAAGGUUAAAACUCAAAUGAAUUGACGGGGGCCCGCACAAGCGGUGGAGCAUGUGGUUUAAUUCGAUGCAACGCGAAGAACCUUACCUGGUCUUGACAUCCACAGAACUUUCCAGAGAUGGAUUGGUGCCUUCGGGAACUGUGAGACAGGUGCUGCAUGGCUGUCGUCAGCUCGUGUUGUGAAAUGUUGGGUUAAGUCCCGCAACGAGCGCAACCC
rnacentral:rRNA from 1 species